rnacentral:rRNA from 1 species
UACGAAGGGGGCUAGCGUUGCUCGGAAUCACUGGGCGUAAAGGGCGCGUAGGCGGGUCUUUAAGUCAGGGGUGAAAUCCUGGAGCUCAACUCCAGAACUGCCUUUGAUACUGGUGAGCUUGAGUCCAGAAGAGGUGAGUGGAACUGCGAGUGUAGAGGUGAAAUUCGUAGAUAUUCGCAAGAACACCAGUGGCGAAGGCGGCUCACUGGUCCGGUACUGACGCUGAGGUGCGAAAGCGUGGGGAGCAAACAGG